rnacentral:rRNA from 1 species
AGAGUUUGAUCCUGGCUCAGAUUGAACGCUGGCGGCAGGCCUAACACAUGCAAGUCGAGCGGAUGAGAGGUGCUUGCAUCUCGAUUCAGCGGCGGACGGGUGAGUAAUGCCUAGGAAUCUGCCUGGUAGUGGGGGACAACGUUUCGAAAGGAGCGCUAAUACCGCAUACGCCCUACGGGGGAAAGCGGGGGACCUUCGGGCCUCGCGCAGCAGGAUGAGCCGAUGCCGGAUUAGCUAGUUGGUGGGGUAAAGGCCCACCAAGGCGACGAUCCGUAGCUGGUCUGAGAGGAUGAUCAGCCACACUGGGACUGAGACACGGCCCAGACUCCUACGGGAGGCAGCAGUGGGGAAUAUUGGACAAUGGGGGCAACCCUGAUCCAGCCAUGCCGCGUGUGUGAAGAAGGCCUUCGGGUUGUAAAGCACUUUUGUACGGGAAGAAAUCGUUUGGGUUAAUACCCUGAGCGGAUGACGGUACCGUAAGAAUAAGCACCGGCUAACUUCGUGCCAGCAGCCGCGG